GCCUCCCGCAGGCCUGGUGUGAGCCUGGGGUCCGUUCUCACAGCUGGAUCUGGGGUCUGAAUGCCGCGCCCUCUGGAGAGCCACAGAUGGGUCUCCGCUGAUGCUUCUCUCAAUUUCCUCUAAGAGCGAGAGCUCCGGGAAAGGAGCCGAUCCUGGUGGAAGACUACAGGUCUGAGUCCACUGGACGAAAAACGAGGCUCCUUGGAUUAGAGACCAUCCUGAGGACAUCCUUGGGAGCCAUGUGCUGAAGAUGGCCAAGCCACAGGAUGAAAGGAGCUGCAUCUUUGAGUCACCACUGGAGAAAGGUCUCUCUAAAUGGAUUUGCAGAGACGUCUUCUCGAAUACUCCCCUUCUAAGUUCCACUUGUAAUCCACUUCUUCUAUUCUCCCAGCAAUCAAUGUGGUUUGGGGAAAUUCCAGAAUCUCAUAAUACCUUGGUCAUGGGUAAAUAAGGAAAGGACCUUUACAUACAUGUGAUGCAAAGCAGAUCAAAACAAGCAGAGCAGCCUAAGAGCAGCAAGACCCCAAAGGAUAAGGGAAGUCCUGCAGAAGAGCAGAGCGGUGCUGCAAAGGCAGGCAGAGAUGAGGUUUCGCCAUGUUGACCAGGCUGGUCUCAAACUCCUGGACUCAAGUGAUCUGCCCACCUCGGCCUCCCAAAGUACUGGGAUUACAGGCAUGAGCCAAUGUGCCCGUCCUGAGGAGUUUUCUUCUGGAAUUCCUGCUGGGUUUUUGUAGUCAGUCCUCUCCCCAUUUCCCACAUUGGCUCUUGCAGACCUUCCUUUUCCCCAUUUCUAUUUGCUACCAUGUCAGACAUGACUUUUGCCAUAGGAUCUCUAUUCUACUAUAGAGGAAACCAAAGCCAUCAGUAGAAAUUUCACUAACAUGGAAUCAGAUUUAUAGAAGAAAGGGGGAGGAAAGUUUUGCCUUAACACCUGGAAGGGUUUCGUUUCUUUUAGUAGCUGGGAGACAGAAACAUAAGAAAGUAGCUUAGUAAGCUUUCUGCUGUUCAACUGAUGAUGUGUGAGCUGUCAGUAGUUCAAACUAGUCAUUAUCUUUAUGAAUUAAUUAUGUAAUAACUUAAACAAUGUCAUAAACCUUCAAAUCAG
rnacentral:lncRNA from 1 species